rnacentral:rRNA from 1 species
GAUGAACGCUAGCGGCAGGCCUAACACAUGCAAGUCGAGGGGCAGCACGUCUUCGGAUGAUGGCGACCGGCGCACGGGUGCGUAACGCGUAUGCAACCUACCUCUUACAGUGGGAUAGCCCAGAGAAAUUUGGAUUAAUACCGCAUAGUAUACAGAUUCAGCAUUGGGACUGUAUUAAACAUUUAUGGGUAAGAGAUGGGCAUGCGUUCUAUUAGUUAGUUGGAGUGGUAACGGCACCCCAAGACAGCGAUAGAUAGGGGCCCUGGAGAGGGGGAUCCCCCGACACUGGUACUGAGACACGGACCAGACUCCUACGGGAGCAGCAGUGAGGAAUAUUGGACAAUGGGCGAGAGCCUGAUCCAGCCAUGCCGCGUGCAGGAAGACGGCCCUAUGGGUUGUAAACUG